rnacentral:lncRNA from 1 species
CUUUUCCAUAUUGUGAAGCCAACACCCACAUUGGGCCUUGGGAAAAAUAAAUCCGCCACCUUGCCUCCCUUUCAGACUUUCCUCGUGACUCACUUCUUCUGGGAAGACCAUGCCUCAGCCACCUUUUGACCCUAAAUCCAGCUGGAACUGAGUCCGCCUUCCUGGCUGCGGCGCUCUCCCCUUAUCAUCCGUCUUUCGGCAGGCUGGUUGGCUGAGUACUAUUGAAACCCUCUGCAGUGACUUUUUUUUAGAGCCUCUUUGUUUAAUUUAGUGCCCAGAACUUGGUUAGGACCUUCAGGGAAGUUGAAACGCUGAGGAUACUUUUCAUUGAGAGGUCUGUCUCUGGCUCAGUCUCCGUGCUGUCCUAGCCUUUCCUGCUCUCUCUCUUCCAUCCUUGGAUCCAAGCCAGACCAUCCCUUCAUGGCGCAGGUGAGCGAGAGGCAGAGGCCUCGGGGAGUGUCCCAGGAGCUUUUGCUGACAAUUCCAGUUUCCAAACGAAACAUUUGGGCAAUGGUGAAGGCUUCAGUACCUUCUCACAUUUGCUGUCAACAAUGAAUGGACGGAUGUGAUGCCUGCUGGUCAAAAGGUUUUUUCAGCUGGCAUAUCUGCUGUAGACAUAAACUUAGCCUGUUUUCCCUCUGGGUUCAAAAGAAUGGAAACCUUGCGCUGGUUUUGGCUAGAAGUAAAACCUGCAGGAUAUUGAGUCCUCUGUGGAAAAGACUAGAAGGUAUGUUCUCAAAAUUUCAAUAGUAGUGGCCUGGGAAAUUGUUGGCAAAAAAUAGAGCAUUUUUGUGUUAUUUGGGUUACAGAAAAAAAAGUCUUUACAAUAUGACACAAUAUUGUCAUUGAUAAACCUGAGUCAUUUUUCCCUUUCUUGCCUUUUAAAAGUCUUGUCAAGAUCUGUGGUUAUAUAGUUAUUUAUUUACUUAUUCAACAUAAGUGUUCUCAUUUGGGCUGUAAACUGAGACCAGGCCAUGUGAUUUUUUUUUAGCCACACACCACCUGGCAUGUGGUGGCAUUGUCAGUCUUCGUUCAGUCAGUGGUUAGUGUGAACAGAUAAACGCAGUGAUAAUAACGGCUGCGUGUGUGCCUAGUUUCUCAGUUGUGUCUGACUCUCGCAACCCCAUAGACUGCAGCCCUCCAGGCUCCUCUGUCCAUGGGAUUCUCCAGGCAAGAAUAUUGGAGUGGGGUGCCAUUUCCUUCUCCAGGGGAUCUCCCGACCCAGGGAUUGUACCUGGGUCUCCUGCAUUGCAGGCAGAUUGUUGACUGACUGAGCUAUGAGGGAAGCCCUUCAUAGGCUGACGUAUAUUUACUGUUUGAAGGUAACAGAUUCUUUGUGAAACGCAUACAGGCCUUCUCCCUCUUCAGCCUUGCCACACAUCUUUGGUUAUUCUAACUGCUCACACUGUUGGGGUAUGCAAUUGAGG